GUAUGUUGGACAAGAACGCCUAAGAACAAACAAGCAAGUUUACCGGGGCAUGCACCUUUCUUAUGCCUGCGGUGGCACUGUGAAUGGCAUCAAUGUUCUCAGCCUUAAUGAACCUUAAAGGCUUCGAUCUGGUGUCUGGUAUCAGCGUGUGCUACAUGCAUUGUGUGUUGCUUGGAGUGACCAGGCACAUUACUGACAUGCUGUUCAACACGUCCAACUCUACUGAGAGAUAUUAUGUUGAUGCUCCUUCAUGCCUACGAAACGUUAAUGACCGCCUUUUCAGCAUUCAGCCACCACAUUGUAUCACCCGUCUUCCUCGUCGCAUUGAUGACAGAUUUCACU
rnacentral:lncRNA from 1 species